AGCGAACGCUGGCGGCAAGCUUAACACAUGCAAGUCGAACGCCCCGCAAGGGGAGUGGCGGACGGGUGUAUAACACGUGGGAAUCUACCUUUCAGUUCAGGAUAACUCAGGGAAACUUGAGCUAAUACUGCAUAAUGUCUCCGGACCAAAGAUUUAUCGCUGAAAGAUGAGCCCGCGGCUGAUUAGCUAGUUGGUAGGGUAAUGGCCUACCAAGGCGACGAUCAGUAGCUGGUCUGAGAGGAUGAUCAGCCACACUGGGACUGAGACACGGCCCAGACUCCUACGGGAGGCAGCAGUGGGGAAUAUUGGACAAUGGGGGAAACCCUGAUCCAGCUAUGCCGCGUGAGUGAUGAAGGCCUUCGGGUUGUAAAGCUCUUUAGUCGGGGACGAUAAUGACGGUACCCGAAGAAUAAGCUCCGGCAAACUUCGUGCCAGCAGCCGCCGUAA
rnacentral:rRNA from 1 species